CCCAAUUCCUUAUCCCUGACCCAUCCACUGACCUCCCACCUGACCCUCUGACCCCUGACCCAGAUAUUUGACCCUGAGCUAUAACCUCCUAAGCCUUCUACAGCCUGACCUGUAACCCAAGGCCAUUCAACCUGAUCAUGUGACUACUAUGCAAACACACCCUAACCCCAGAAUCUAACCCCUGACCCUUGACCUGGAGACAUGAUUGUUGAACUCCCAGAGACCCUAACUGCAAAUACUCAGCUGCUGAUCCCAGAUCUGACUCCCUUCUCCCGCCCCAACACUUCAUGGCCCCAUCUUCUUCCCUUUUAGGGGUGACCACGGACUCACCGGUGAGUGAGGAGAGGUCAGUGCAGCAGAGCCACCCAACUGCCACCACGACUCCUGCCCGGCCCUACCCCGAGCUGAUCUCCCGUCCCUCGCCCCCGACCAUGCGCUGGUUCCUGCCGGACUUGCCUCCUUCCCGCAGCGCCGUAGAGAUCGCUCCCACUCAGGUCACAGAGACUGAUGAGUGCCGACUGAACCAGA
rnacentral:lncRNA from 1 species